ensembl:snoRNA small nucleolar RNA SNORD2
GAGUGAAAUGAUGGUAUCAUCUUUCGGGACAGACCUGACUUUGGUGACAACUUUUUAUACUGAUCACUC